rnacentral:rRNA from 1 species
UACGUAGGGUGCAAGCGUUGUCCGGAAUUAUUGGGCGUAAAGAGCUCGUAGGCGGUUUGUUGCGUCGGCUGUGAAAUCCCGAGGCUCAACCUCGGGUCUGCAGUCGAUACGAGCAAACUAGAGUGUUGCAGGGGAGACUGGAAUUCCUGGUGUAGCGGUGAAAUGCGCAGAUAUCAGGAGGAACACCGGUGGCGAAGGCGGGUCUCUGGGGCAACAACUGACGCUGAGAAAGCGAAAGCGUGGGUAGCGAACAGG